GGUGAACGCUGGCGGUAGGCCUAACACAUGCAAGUCGAACGGCAGCACAGUAAGAGCUUGCUCUUACGGGUGGCGAGUGGCGGACGGGUGAGGAAUACAUCGGAAUCUACUUUUUCGUGGGGGAUAACGUAGGGAAACUUACGCUAAUACCGCAUACGACCUACGGGUGAAAGCAGGGGAUCUUCGGACCUUGCGCGAUUGAAUGAGCCGAUGUCGGAUUAGCUAGUUGGCGGGGUAAAGGCCCACCAAGGCGACGAUCCGUAGCUGGUCUGAGAGGAUGAUCAGCCACACUGGAACUGAGACACGGUCCAGACUCUUAAGGGAGGCAGCAGUGGGGAAUAUUGGACAAUGGGCGCAAGCCUGAUCCAGCCAUACCGCGUGGGUGAAGAAGGCCUUCGGGUUGUAAAGCCCUUUUGUUGGGAAAGAAAAGCAGCAGGUUAAUACCCCGCUGUUCUGACGGUACCCAAAGAAUAAGCACCGGCUAACUUCGUG
rnacentral:rRNA from 1 species